rnacentral:rRNA from 1 species
ACGCUGGCGGCGUGCNUAAUACAUGCAAGUCGAGCGGACAGAUGGGAGCUUGCUCCCUGAUGUUAGCGGCGGACGGGUGAGUAACACGUGGGUAACCUGCCUGUAAGACUGGGAUAACUCCGGGAAACCGGGGCUAAUACCGGAUGGUUGUCUGAACCGCAUGGUUCAGACAUAAAAGGUGGCUUCGGCUACCACUUACAGAUGGACCCGCGGCGCAUUAGCUAGUUGGUGAGGUAACGGCUCACCAAGGCGACGAUGCGUAGCCGACCUGAGAGGGUGAUCGGCCACACUGGGACUGAGACACGGCCCAGACUCCUACGGGAGGCAGCAGUAGGGAAUCUUCCGCAAUGGACGAAAGUCUGACGGAGCAACGCCGCGUGAGUGAUGAAGGUUUUCGGAUCGUAAAGCUCUGUUGUUAGGGAAGAACAAGUGCCGUUCAAAUAGGGCGGCACCUUGACGGUACCUAACCAGAAAGCCACGGCUAACUACGUGCCAGCAGCCGCGGUAAUACGUAGGUGGCAAGCGUUGUCCGGAAUUAUUGGGCGUAAAGGGCUCGCAGGCGGUUUCUUAAGUCUGAUGUGAAAGCCCCCGGCUCAACCGGGGAGGGUCAUUGGAAACUGGGGAACUUGAGUGCAGAAGAGGAGAGUGGAAUUCCACGUGUAGCGGUGAAAUGCGUAGAGAUGUGGAGGAACACCAGUGGCGAAGGCGACUCUCUGGUCUGUAACUGACGCUGAGGAGCGAAAGCGUGGGGAGCGAACAGGAUUAGAUACCCUGGUAGUCCACGCCGUAAACGAUGAGUGCUAAGUGUUAGGGGGUUUCCGCCCCUUAGUGCUGCAGCUAACGCAUUAAGCACUCCGCCUGGGGAGUACGGUCGCAAGACUGAAACUCAAAGGAAUUGACGGGGGCCCGCACAAGCGGUGGAGCAUGUGGUUUAAUUCGAAGCAACGCGAAGAACCUUACCAGGUCUUGACAUCCUCUGACAAUCCUAGAGAUAGGACGUCCCCUUCGGGGGCAGAGUGACAGGUGGUGCAUGGUUGUCGUCAGCUCGUGUCGUGAGAUGUUGGGUUAAGUCCCGCAACGAGCGCAACCCUUGAUCUUAGUUGCCAGCAUUCAGUUGGGCACUCUAAGGUGACUGCCGGUGACAAACCGGAGGAAGGUGGGGAUGACGUCAAAUCAUCAUGCCCCUUAUGACCUGGGCUACACACGUGCUACAAUGGACAGAACAAAGGGCAGCGAAACCGCGAGGUUAAGCCAAUCCCACAAAUCUGUUCUCAGUU